rnacentral:lncRNA from 8 species
AUGUGUGUCCAGAGUGUCUGUCCUGUUUGUGUGUGUGUCCUGUGUGUGGGUGUCUNNNNNNNNNNNNNNNNNNNNGUUGUGUACUGUGUGUGUGUGUUGUGUGUGUGUGUGUGUGUGUGUGUGUGUGUCCAGUGUGUGUGUGUGUGUGUGUCCAGUGUGUCCAGCGUGUGUGUGUGUGUCCUGUGUGUUUGUUUGUCCGGGGUUUUUUAUUUGUCCAUGUGUGUGUGUGUCCUGUGUCCUGUGUGUGUGUCCUGUGUGUGUGUCCUGUGUGUGUGUCCUGUGUGUGUGUCCUGUGUGUGUGUCCUGUGUGUGUGUCCUGUAUGUGUGUGUCCUGUAUGUGUGUGUCUCGGUGUGUGUGUGUGUGUCAGUGUGUGUGUGUCUCAGUGUGUGUGUGUGUCUCGGGGUGUGUGUCUCGGUGUGUGUGUGUGUCUCAGUGUCUGUGUGAGUGUGUGUAUCCAGUGUGUGUGUGUCCAGCGUGUGUGUGUAUCCAGUGUGUGUAUCCAGUGUGUGAGUCCAUUGUGUGUGUGUAUCCAGUGUGUCUGUGUCCAGUGUCUUUCUGUGUGUGUGUGUUUGUGUGUGUAUAUCCAGUGUGUGUUUGUACGUCCUGUGCGUGUGUGUGUCCUGUGUGUGUGUCCAGUAUGUAUGUGUCCAGCGUGUGUGUAUCCAGUUUGUGUGUCCAGUGUGUGGUUGUGUUUCUGUGUCCAGUGUGUGUGUGUGUUAGUAAUGUGUGUGUGUGUCCAGCGUGUGUUUGUGUCCAGUGUGUGUGUGUGUGUGUCCAGUGUGUGUGUGUGUGUCCAGCGUGUGUGUGUGUGUCCUGUGUGUUUGUUUGUCCGGGGUUUUUUAUUUGUCCAGUGUGUGUGUGUGUCCAGUGUGUGUCAAUGUGUGUGUGUGUGUGUCCAGUGUGAGUGUGUGUUUGUCCAGUGUGUGUAUGAGUCCAGUUUGUGUGUGUGUCCAGUGUGUGUGUGUGUGUCCAGAGUGUGUGUGUAUGAGUCCAGUGUGUGUGUAUGA